rnacentral:rRNA from 1 species
CCUACGGGAGGCAGCAGUGGGGAAUAUUGGACAAUGGGGGCAACCCUGAUCCAGCCAUGCCGCGUGAGUGAUGACGGCCUUAGGGUUGUAAAGCUCUUUUCUCCGGGACGAUAAUGACGGUACCGGAGGAAUAAGCCCCGGCUAACUUCGUGCCAGCAGCCGCGGUAAUACGAAGGGGGCUAGCGUUGCUCGGAAUCACUGGGCGUAAAGGGCGCGUAGGCGGUUUUUUAAGUCGGGGGUGAAAGCCUGUGGCUCAACCACAGAAUGGCCUUCGAUACUGGAAGACUUGAGACCGGAAGAGGACAGCGGAACUGCGAGUGUAGAGGUGAAAUUCGUAGAUAUUCGCAAGAACACCAGUGGCGAAGGCGGCUGUCUGGUCCGGUUCUGACGCUGAGGCGCGAAAGCGUGGGGAGCAAACAGGAUUAGAUACCCUGGUAGUCCACGCUGUAAACGAUGAAUGCUAGCCGUAGGGGUGCAUGCACUUCUGUGGCGCCGCUAACGCAUUAAGCAUUCCGCCUGGGGAGUACGAUCGCAAGAUUAAAACUCAAAGGAAUUGACGG